AUGACGACUCCUCGAGGCCUGCUCCAACAAGAUGCCUUGUCCGACCAGGCGGCUUCCGCACGGGUUAGUAAGGAGCAUGCCAUGCUGGCACCGUUCACAGCCGGAUGGCAGACCGCAAACUCGCCCCCGUUGGUUAUCGAGAGAUCCGAGGGUUGUUAUGUUUAUGAUGCCAACGGGAACAAGUAUCUGGAUGCCCUUGCAGGAUUGUUCUCUACAGCUUUAGGUGGUAGUGAGCCUCGAUUAGUCAAAGCUGCAACUGAGCAAUUAAACAAGCUGCCCUUCUACCACUCCUUUUGGAACCGUACAACCAGACCCUCUUUGGAUCUUGCGAACGAACUUAUUAGCAUGUUUACUGCCAGGGAAAUGGGGAAAGUGUUCUUUACCAGCAGUGGUUCAGAAGCAAAUGACUCUCAGGUCAAGCUAAUAUGGUAUUAUAACAAUGCGUUGGGGAGGCCAGGCAAGAAGAAAAUCAUUGCAAGAUCCCAAUCGCAUCAAAGGAGUACAUCCCACCUGGUCAUAAUGAUAUUCUUG
rnacentral:rRNA from 1 species